rnacentral:rRNA from 1 species
UGCGAAGGACGAACGAGGGUACUCAACUCGUGGUUGCCGGUAGGACGGCCAGUGCUAGCCAGUAGGCGCCGAGAUGAAAUGACCAUAGAGCGCAGGCACGGCCGCCCCGUAGCUGGCACGACGGGCGUAGUUGUUCCCUCUAGUAGUAUUUACCAAAACGCAGCGAGCCGUCUGCGGGAGCCAGGAGGGCCGAUCGUAACGUACCGGACUGGUACCCUCGGGCAAAGAGGGGAAACCGGCGUGUGCUUUUCUAUGCCUGGCUCUUUUUUUCGUGACGGCGAGCUCGGGGGGGUCCGUCCUUGGGCGGCCCCUCGCUGUGGAGUAGCGGUGAUCCACCUGACCCGUCUUGAAACACGGACCAAGGAGUCUAACCUGUGCGCGAGUCUAAGGGUCCUGCGAGACCUGGAGGCGCAAUGAAAGUGAGCGAAUUUCUCCUUGCGAGGAGAGUUCUAUGCUGGCCGAUCCCUGCUCUGCGGAAAAGGGCGCAGGCCGAGGACUCGCCGCUAAGCGGCCGCCUGCUCUGGCCUGGUCUGGCGCAAGCGGGACGGGGCUGUGCGGGC